UUUUAAUUAAAUUUAUUAAAUUCAUUUAAUUAAAAAUAUCAAGUAAAUAUAUUAAAAUCUUUUAUUUCCCUAUUUUUAGUAAUCCCUCACGUCUCCACGAUGAAACCCUAUUCUCAUCUCCACGCUUCCACACAACACAGGCGAACGACCACUUCUUCGAAUCGACGGACGACUUCCACACAACACAGAGUGGCAAACGGCGAAUGGCUUCCACACGACGAACGCUUCCACCCGGCGAACAGCUUCCACCUGGCGAACAGCUUCAACCCGUUGCGAACAGCUUCAACCCGACGAACGGCUUCCACGCAGCGAACAACUUCCACAGUGAACGACUUCCACGACUGCGAACAUCUUCCGCACGGCGAACUGCUUCCGCACGCCGAACUGCUUCCGCGUUCAAAGGUUUCUAUGCUCCUCAUUCUUAUUGUAUUUAACAUUUUUCAAUGAAUAAUGCUCCCUUGAAUUUGAUUUAUAUCUUGUAAUUAAGGAUGAUAUUGUAAACCCAAAGUGAGAAAAACACAAAGAGAAGAAAAUUGAGAAUGACUCUCGUAUAUUUAUAUUUAUUUGUGUUAUAUGUUUAUGUUGUUUAUGUUCAAAUUCGUAAACAAAUGGUAUAAUCUAAUUGACAAAUAGAGAAGACCAUCAUUUUUCUUUAUUGUUGUUUUUUUUACAGGAAUGAGUAAUGAAAAAUUAAGGGUGACUCUUGGACGAUGUUUUAGACCGUAAUUAAUUUGUUGUCGUUAUGGUUAUAAUUAUCAUAUUGAUUUGUUUAUAGUAAUGAGUAAUGAAUUGGUAUAUUUACUCUUGGUAAGAUUCAUACUUUUGAAUGCCAUUUUUUUUUUAUAGUAAUGAGUAAUGAAUUGAUCUUGUGUGCAUCAUCAUAUCCCAAUUACACAUGCAUCUUGGAAGCUGGUGCCGACUGAGUUGAAAGAAAAAGUAUACAAUAUGAUUGAGUGUUCUUUACAAGUAGGUACGGUUGAAUGUGGAUAUUAUGUCAUGAGAUACAUGCAAGAAAUUGUGACUAAGGACACAAACAUUAUCACUGGUGCGAUUGAUACAAGAAGCCCAUACACACAGCUUGAAUUGGAUAGACGAGGGGAGUGGGCUGGAUUUUUAGCUCGGUACAUAUGAUAGACACACCUAGAUAUGAUCAUGUUAAUUUUGUAAAUGGCUAAGAUAUGGGAAUGCUCAUAACCUUUUUUGUGGAAACGUUUUGUUCAUAGCCAUUAUGAGGGCAAAAGAUAUAUGGGGAUAGGCUUCAAUUUUGAUUAUAUAAGACAACUAUUAUCAUUUAAUAUUUUGGAAUAGGACACAUAUAGGAAAUUUUAGUUGGCUAUAUUGGAUUGGAAUUGUGUAAUUGUUGAUGACAUUGUUGAGAAUA